ensembl:rRNA 5S_rRNA 5S ribosomal RNA
AAAGAUGGCCUUACCAUUCUGGACAUGACUGAUCUCCUCUGACCUUGAAAGCUAAACAGAGUUAUGCCUGUUUAGUACCUGGAUGAGAGGAAUGAACAAGGAGCUGAUUGCA